GUGAGGAAUAUUGGGCAAUGGGCGCAAGCCUGACCCAGCCAUGCCGCGUGAAGGUAGAAGGCCCUAUGGGUUGUAAACUUCUUUUAUACGGGAAGAAACUUCCGAACGUGUUCGGAAUUGACUGUACCGUAGGAAUAAGCAUCGGCUAACUCCGUGCCAGCAGCCGCGGUAAUACGGAGGAUGCAAGCGUUAUCCGGAUUUAUUGGGUUUAAAGGGUGCGUAGGCGGAAUGAUAAGUCAGUGGUGAAAGCCUGCGGCUUAACCGUAGAACUGCCAUUGAUACUGUUGUUCUUGAGUAUAGUUGAGGUGGGCGGAAUGUGUAAUGUAGCGGUGAAAUGCUUAGAUAUUACACAGAACACCGAUUGCGAAGGCAGCUCACUAAGCUGUUACUGACGCUGAGGCACGAAAGCGUGGGGAGCAAACAGGAUUAGAUACCCCGGUAGUCC
rnacentral:rRNA from 1 species